UCUUGCUCUUGAUCUUGAUCUUUGACUUGACCUCAAAUCAGGUAGGACUACCCGCUGAACUUAAGCAUAUCAAUAAGCGGAGGAAAAGAAACUAACAAGGAUUCCCCUAGUAACUGCGAGUGAAGCGGGCAAAGCUCAAAUUGUAGAUCUGACGGUCGUUCUGGUCGUCCGAGUUGUAAUCUAGAGAAGCGUCUUCCGCGCUGGACCGUGUACAAGUCUCCUGGAAGGGAGCGUCAUAGAGGGUGAGAAUCCCGUCUUUGACACGGACUACCAGUGCUAUGUGAUGCGCUCUCGACGAGUCGAGUUGUUUGGGAAUGCAGCUCAAAAUGGGUGGUAAAUUCCAUCUAAAGCUAAAUACAGGCGAGAGACCGAUAGCGAACAAGUACCGUGAGGGAAAGAUGAAAAGAACUUUGGGAAGAGAGUUAAACAGUACGUGAAAUUGCUGAAAGGGAAACGCUUGAUGUCAGUCUCGUCCGCCAGGGAUCAACCUUGCAUUAUUUCAAUUGCUGGGUGCAUUUCUUGGUUGGACGGGUCAGCAUCAGUUUCGAUCGUCGUAGAAUGUACAAGGGAACGUGGCACCUCCAGGGGUGUGUUAUAGCCUUUGAUCGUAUGCGUCGGUGGGGACUGAGGAACUCGGCACGAUCCUUCGAGGGUUUGUGUCUAGGAUGCUGGCAUAAUGGCC
rnacentral:rRNA from 1 species